UUUACUUGCUUAUCAGAUCAAUCUACACAGCUUAGACUAACCUGUGAAGAUUGAAUCAAAUCAGCCUCGGGCUUUUUGACUGUUUGUACUUAGCCCUAAGCAAACUCAGGUUGUGCUGCUUAGUCACGAACAUUCACAAAUUCAGUAGUCUGACUUUGUUUGAAACUUACCAAGCAAGUAGGUUCUGCUUGAAUAUGUUUUUAACUAAUUUUAAAACCAUGUUAAUAGGUUAGGCUUGAAUAUAGGUUGUCAUAGUUUCUAAUUUCAUUUUAAAUAGGUUUGUUUUUUUUUUAAAGAAUACAACAAUUUAAAAAUGAUUUUUUUGUCUCAUCUGUAAUCUGCAGAGUUAACAGGGUCUCUUGCUCUUUUCCUCCCCUUUCCUUUAAGCCAUGUACAAAACAGAUGGAAAUGCAGAAAACCAAUUCCGUGGCAAACCUGUUCUCUGCACUGCCAUGCAGGAAGUCUACUUCAGAGCAAUUUCUGCAUUACCAUUGUUUCUUGGACUCUAAAGCAACACUUUACUUUGGGAGGAAACUGACUGGCAAUGAUGAGCAGAGAGAGAUUGACAUUUCCCUUUUGUGAAGGAAGACGCCCAAGGGGACACAUGGAUCUGAAUCCUGCAGUACCGACUUUAUUAGUAGUUUUGCUUGCAUGGGGACUACAAGAUUGAGCCUGUGUGUGGCCACUUGGCUUAUACUUAAAGCCAUUCACUUUCUAUAUUAUAAAUAUUCUCAUUAACUUCAUUAAAAAUAAAUCACUUAAUACAGGAAAAAAUAAAUACAAUUAAAUUAUUUAUUUUUGUGUAUUUUUAAAAGCUUAAUGCAAUUUAAUAUUGAAGCCUCUCAGUGACAUCAGGGAUUAGAUCCUGGAGCCUCUCUGCCACUAGCCAGUGGCUUGAAGGGUGAGAAAGGUGCACUGAAGAGACAGCUGAGGAUGCCCAUCAUGGCUGUGAAGCAAGCAGAGGUGCCCUUGGCCAUCCUCUUCUGCGUGCCUCAGCUUGCUGGGCUCCAGAGAUCUCCAGCCAAGGUACAGGCCCUGGCAGACUUUUAGAAUAGACUGCAAAUGGGAGAGGAACAGGGGAAACCCUGGCCAACCCCCAUUCAUUCUCUCUUUCAGCAUCCAGUGUCUGCCACUGUGUGACACAGGAUACUGGGCAAGAUGGAUCUGUGGGCUUACACAGUAAAUGGCAGUUCUCAUAUGUCAUUUUGUAAUAGGUUUAGAUUGCCCUUAAAUACACCAAAACCCAAACUGGUCCAGGCCAUGCUUGGGGGGGUACUGAGGUUGUUUAAAACCACCUUUGAUCCCCCCAAGUCCUUCUCAUCUAUGUUUUGUGGAGCUUUGGCAUAACAAAGAAUCUAGUCCUAGGUUUUAUUUUACACACUGUCCUUCCUUCCUCUUUUCCCCCCAGUCAAACUCACUGUUAGUGAUAAUAAUAUUAAGAUGUCCCUAAGGCAUGCAACCAACGUUGGGACCCCAGUAUGAUAGGCAUGGUAGAAAUAUGAAAAUCAAUCCUUUCCUUAAAGAGAUUCAUCUCAGUAAGGUGGCAGACAAAUGGUAGGAGAAAAGCUUGUAUUGUCAUCUCUAUCUGAUACCAAGAUGCAGAACCACUAAGGGCCAGAUCCACAAAAGAAUAAACUCGGGUGCAUAGAUUUUGCCUGUAUCCUAUGUUACGUUCUUUAGUCUAAAAUUACAAUCCUGAACAGACUCCUCCUCCCACUUAAUGGAACUUCCUCAUAAGUGAACUGCCAAGUUCUUGCUUUUAGGAUCUAGCCUGUCUCAAGUAGUACCCCUUGGAUUUUUUUUUUUUUUUUUUUUU